rnacentral:rRNA from 1 species
CCUACGUGGUGCUGCAGUGAGGAAUAUUGGUCAAUGGGCGCGAGCCUGAACCAGCCAAGUAGCGUGAAGGAUGACUGCCCUACGGGUUUUAAACUCCUUUUAUAAAGGAAUAAAGUGAGGCACGUGUUCCUUUUUGUAUGUACUUUAUGAAUAAGGAACGGCUAACUCCGUGCCAGCAGCCGCGGUCAUACGGAGGAUCCGAGCGUUAUCCGGAUCUAUUGGGUGUAAAGGGAGCGUAGAUGGGAUAUUAAGUCAGUUGUGAAAGUUUGCGGCUCAACCGUAAGAUUGCAAUUGAUACUGGCAGUCUUGAGUACAGGUGAGGCAGACGGAAUUCCUGGUGUAGCGGUGAAAUGCUUAGAUAUGACGAGGAACACC